rnacentral:rRNA from 1 species
AAUCAACGCUGGCGGCGUGCCUAACACAUGCAAGUCGAACGCGAAAGCCCGCAAGGGUAAGUAGAGUGGCGCACGGGUGAGUAACACGUGGACAACCUGCCUUCGAGUGGGGAAUAACCUUCCGAAAGGAGGGCUAAUACCGCAUAACACCUCGGGACACAAGUUCUGGGGUUGAAAAGAGCAAUUUGCUCGAAGAGGGGUCCGCGCCUGAUUAGCUAGUUGGUGAGGUAACGGCUCACCAAGGCUUCGAUCAGUAGCCGUCCUGAGAGGGAGCACGGCCACACUGGAACUGAGACACGGUCCAGACUCCUACGGGAGGCAGCAGUGGGGAAUUUUUGGCAAUGGGCGAAAGCCUGACCAAGCAACGCCGCGUGGGUGAUGAAGUAUCUUGGUACGUAAAACCCUUUCGGCAGGGACGAACCUAAUGACGGUACCUGCGGAAGAAGCCCCGGCUAACUCCGUGCCAGCAGCCGCCGCUGUAAU